UACGAAACGAUAUACUACGGGUGA
rnacentral:siRNA from 1 species